AGCAGCCGCGGUAAUUCCAGCUCCAAUAGCGUAUAUUAAAGUUGUUGCAGUUAAAAAGCUCGUAGUUGAAUUUCGGGAUUAAUUUACUGGUCGUGCUAUUGUACGUACUGGUUUUAUUGAUUCCUCCCUUCUGACGAACUAUGAUGUCAUUAAUUUGGUGUCAUAGGGAAUCAGGACUGUUACUUUGAAAAAUUAGAGUGUUUAAAGCAGGCUCACGCUUGAAUACAUUAGCAUGGAAUAACGGAAUAGGACGUUUGAUUCUAUUUUGUUGGUUUCUAGGAUCGACGUAAUGAUUAAUAGGGAUAGUUGGGGGCAUUAGCAUUCAAUUGUCAGAGGUGAAAUUCUUGGAUUUAUUGAAGACUAACUACUGCGAAAGCAUUUGCCAAGGAUGUUUUCAUUAAUCAAGAACGAAAGUUAAGGGGAUCGAAGACGAUCAGAUACCGUCGUAGUCUUAACCAUAAACUAUAGCCGACUAGGGAUCGGAUGAU
rnacentral:sRNA from 1 species